rnacentral:rRNA from 1 species
UGAUGCAGCCAUGCCGCGUGAAUGAUGAAGGCCUUAGGGUUGUAAAAUUCUUUCGCUAGGGAUGAUAAUGACAGUACCUAGUAAAGAAGCCCCGGCUAACUUCGUGCCAGCAGCCGCGGUCAUACUCCGGGGGCUAGCGUUGUUCGGAAUUACUGGGCGUAAAGCGCACGUAAGCGGAUUUUUGUGUCAGAUGUGAAAUCCCGGGGCUCAACCUCAGAACUGCAUUUGAAACUGUAAGUCUGGAGUUCAGGAGAGGUUAGCGGAAUACCGAGUGUAGAGGUGAAAUUCGUAGAUAUUCGGUGGAACACCAGUGGCGAAGGCGGCUAACUGGACUGAUACUGACGCUGAGGUGCGAAAGUGUGGGGAGCAAACAGGAUUAGAUACCCAGGUAGUCCACACCGUAAACGAUGACAGCUAGUUGUUGGCAGGCAUGCCUGUCGGUGACGCAGCUAACGCAUUAAGCUGUCCGCCUGGGGAGUACGGCCGCAAGGUUAAAAC